UUUGUUCUUUCGCUGUUUGCAAUAAAUAUUGCAACUGCUUACUCUUUGGGUCCACACUGCCUUUAAGAGCUGUAACACUCACUGUGAAGGUCUGCAGCUUCGUUCUUGAAGCCCGCGAGACCAUGAGCCCACUGGGAGGAACAAACAACUCCAGAUGCGCUGCCUUAAGAGCUGUAACGCUCACCGCAAAGGUCUGCAGCUUCACUCCUGAGCCAGCCAGACCACGAACCCCACCAGAAGGAAGAAACUCCGAACACAUCUGAACAUCAGAAGGAACAAACUCUGGACACGCCGCCUUUAAGAACUGUAACACUCACCGCGAGGGUCUGCGGCUUCAUUCUUAAAGUCAGUGAGACCAAGAACCCACCAAUUCCGGACACAAUAGGAGUGAGAUUGGGCUAUGUGUCCUUUAUCUUCUAGUACUCUAGGUACAAAGAAAAGUUGGAAUUGUAACAGGACCUUCCGGAUGUGAAAAUGUAUCUGCAGGGUAAAUUCCUAGAAGUAAGAGGUAUUUAUAUCUUGCAUUGCUUCCUGAGAUCAGACGAUUAGGAUUGCCGGCCAGACGCGAUAGCUCACGCCUGUAAUCCCAGCACUUUGGG
rnacentral:lncRNA from 1 species